AGAUAGGUUACCUCGUUCAUUUUCAACUCAUCUUUUCUAACAUAGGCACUAUUGUUAUAGAAUUAAAUUUAUAGUCUAGACAUAGUUCACAAGUUUUUAUAUUAAUAUUGUUAAUAUUUGUGUUAGUUUUCUAUUGCUGUAACAAUACCUGAGAAAAUCAACCUAAAGGAAGAAAGAUCUAUUUUGGCUCAGUUUCAGAGAUUUCCGUCCACAGUCAGCUGGACUGUGCUGAGGCAGAACAUCAUGGAAGGGAACACUUGAAACAAAGCUGUUUGCCUCAUGGUGCCCAGGAAGUAGACAGGGACUGGGGACAAAAUAUACCCUUCAAAGCCACACCCCUAGUGACCUGUGUCCUCCAACUAGGGCUCACUUCCUUAAGUUUGCACUGCUUUCCAGUAGCCCGUGAAGUUAUGAAUCCACAAAUGGGUUAAUCUAUUCCUGGGGUGGAACCUUCAUGAUUCUCUCACCUCGUAAAAGCCCUGCCUCUGAUAACUGAUGCUUUCAAUACAUGAGCUUUGGAAGACAUUUAUGUUCCAAACCAUACCAAUAUUUAAUUAAACUAGUUUUGAAUUUUCAUGAGCAUUUCCUCUUCUACUCUUUGGUUGGCUCUUUUAGGAGAGUAUGGAGAGUUAGCUGGGUGUGGCGGCACAUGCCUGUGAUCCCAGCACACAGGAGGAGAGUGUGGGAUGUGAUUAAAAAAUAUGGUGAAUGUGGGCUGGGGAUUUAGCUCAGUGGUUCUGCUGCCUGCCUCAAAAGCACAAGGUACCAAGUUUGAUCCCUGGUACAAAAAAAAAUAUAUAUAUAUAUGAUGAAUGUUUGAAUUUAGAAGUUUAUUAUAAUAAAAGACACUUUACUGUUACUCUCAAGAUACUCCCUUUUGCUUUAAGCACACUUUUCUGUGGUUCUUGCCACUUUCUGAAGCAGUUCUGGAAGUCUUCAGUUGUCUUUCACUGAAUGUUACGGCUGCUUCAGUGACUUGAAUUGCUUCAAAACUUCUACCUUUCAUCAUCAUUUUGACUUUGAGGAAGAGCCAGCAGUCACAGCCAGAUCCAGUGAAUAAGGUGGUUGAGGAUACACUAAUAUUUUGUGAGCCUGUGUUAUGGUUUGGGUCAAAAUGUUCCCCCAAAGCCUCAUGUGGUCAUAGGAUUGAUCUAGAGUGUGUGAAGCUGGAAUUGAUUCAUGGUGCAAUGCUAGGUUAGAGGGCACUAGGAUUAAGGGUGUGAGUGCUACCCACCCUAAGUAGUCUGAAUAACUCAGUGGUUUUGCUGCCUGCUGCGCAAGUGCAAGGACCUGAGUUCGAUCUCCGGUACCAAAAAAAAAAAGAUGGAAGAGGCAGAGAGACACUGUUAACUUCCCUCUCUCGUUACCUUUGCUGCCUUGUGCGCACCAUAUUUUUCUUCUAUGAUGCUUGUUUGCCGUUCCAGCCUUGGGGCCAGCCGAUUAUGGACUGAAACCUCUACGAACUAUAAGCCAAAUAAACCCCUUCCUCUCUAACUUUGGAUGUCAGGUAUUUUGUCUCAGCAAUGAGAGAAAAGUAUCUUAACGCAUCCUGCCUUUACAUUGAAUGGCCUUCAGGAACUGCAUUCACCAUAUUUUUGAUCACCUCAUAAAGACACAAAAGACAACUUUCAGAGCUGCUUCAGAAGAUGGCAAGAACAAUAGGAUAAGUAUGUUCAAAGUGGAGGAGUAUUUUGAGUGGGAUUAAAGGCAGUGUAAUUUAAACAUUAAUUAUAUAUUUUGAUCACCCCUCAUCAUUUCCAAACAUGCAGUUCUAAUGAUCAUUUUUAGUUUGAUUUUCAGUUUAAUUGAAUUUUGGUCACAGUUUUAAAAAUGAUCUUCCUGAUUUUGAUCCUUUGACACUAACCACUCGUAACCCAGAAUAUGGUAUUUAUUUUAUAAUAAUUUGUAUGCAUUUGACAGCAGCAUAGGGAGAAAUCAUAACUUCAGAUGAUUCCAGACCCUAGAUUUCAUGGAGCCAUUCUUACCCAUAAUGAGUUUCUGACCCACCAAAUUAAUGAACAUGAAUGAUUUAUGUAACUGAGUUUGGAGUUAUUAUACAAGACAUAACUAUAGAACAGCUAUAUCAUUCCCAACUUACAUACUAUUGUUGUGUAUUUUAUUUCUCUCAUGUAUUUUAAUUGUUACCUUGUACUUGAAUGUGUUUAAUGCUGUGAGAUUUUAUUUCUGUUAAUAUAGUCAGUAUUUGUAUUUUUACACACAUAAAACCAGUGUUUCUGCUGUUUAUUCUUAUUUAGUAUCUAAGGCUGUCAUUUGAACAUUUGUAUCUCCUAAGUUCAUGUAUUGACAGUAGAACCUCCAAGUGGUGGUAUUCGGAAUUGGGCCUUUCUUUGGGAUGUGAUCAGGCAUGAAGCCCUUGUAAAAGAGACCUGAGGGAGACCAUCACACUUCUGAGGAUAUAGAGAGAAGGUGCCAUCUUUGAGCCAGAAGGGGACUCUCCACAGACACCAAAUCUGCUGGCAUCUUGAUCUUGGAUUUCCUACCUCUGAAUUUAUCCCUGUGCCAUGUGACACUGCUUGGAGCCAGCCAACUAUGAAGUGAAAGCUCCAGCCUGAGAGCUACAAUAAACCUUUGCUCUUUUAACUUUGGGUGUCAAGUAUUUUGUUUCAGCAAUGAGAAAAGUAACUAAGAUACUCAUUUAAUUUGCUGGUGUGCUAUAUAACAAAUGGCUUUGUGACUUAAAAAAUAUUUUGUUACAGGUCUAGAGGCUAAAAGUCAGAAAUCAAGGUGUCAGUGAGGUUGAUUUGUUUUAUUUUAAUUUAUUAGUAUAUGAGUAUUGAACAUAAUGUUUACAUUCUUUGUGGAAAGUUUGUACAUGUUCAUCACAUAUCUUGAUUCCUUUUUUCAUCCCCUUUGCCUUCCUUCCCUCCCCCUCCACCCUCCAUCUGUCCUUCG
ensembl:lncRNA